GGGUUGUGAGGUUAAGCGACUAAGCGUACACGGUGGAUGCCCUGGCAGUCAGAGGCGAUGAAGGACGUGCUAAUCUGCGAAAAGCGCCGGCGAGGUGAUAUGAACCCUUGACCCGGCGAUGUCCGAAUGGGGAAACCCAGUGCAAUCCGUUGCACUAUCGUUAACUGAAUACAUAGGUUAACGAGGCGAACCGGGGGAACUGAAACAUCUAAGUACCCCGAGGAAAAGAAAUCAACCGAGAUUCCCCCAGUAGCGGCGAGCGAACGGGGAGCAGCCCGGAGUCUGAAUCAGCUUGUGUGUUAGUGGAACGGUCUGGAAAGUCCGACGGUACAGGGUGAUAGUCCCGUACACGAAAGCACACAUGCUGUGAACUCGAAGAGUAGGGCGGGACACGUGGUAUCCUGUCUGAAUAUGGGGGGACCAUCCUCCAAGGCUAAAUACUCCUGACUGACCGAUAGUGAACCAGUACCGUGAGGGAAAGGCGAAAAGAACCCCGGCGAGGGGAGUGAAAAAGAACCUGAAACCGUGUACGUACAAGCAGUGGGAGCCUCUUUAUGGGGUGACUGCGUACCUUUUGUAUAAUGGGUCAGCGACUUAUAUUCUGUAGCAAGGUUAACCGUAUAGGGGAGCCGAAGGGAAACCGAGUCUUAACUGGGCGUUAAGUUGCAGGGUAUAGACCCGAAACCCGGUGAUCUAGCCAUGGGCAGGUUGAAGGUUGGGUAACACUAACUGGAGGACCGAACCGACUAAUGUUGAAAAAUUAGCGGAUGACCUGUGGCUGGGGGUGAAAGGCCAAUCAAACCGGGAGAUAGCUGGUUCUCCCCGAAAGCUAUUUAGGUAGCGCCUCGUGAACUCAUCUUCGGGGGUAGAGCACUGUUUCGGCUAGGGGGCCAUCCCGGCUUACCAACCCGAUGCAAACUACGAAUACCGAAGAAUGUUAUCACGGGAGACACACGGCGGGUGCUAACGUCCGUCGUGAAGAGGGAAACAACCCAGACCGCCAGCUAAGGUCCCAAAGUCAUGGUUAAGUGGGAAACGAUGUGGGAAGGCACAGACAGCCAGGAUGUUGGCUUAGAAGCAGCCAUCAUUUAAAGAAAGCGUAAUAGCUCACUGGUCGAGUCGGCCUGCGCGGAAGAUGUAACGGGGCUAAACCAUGCACCGAAGCUGCGGCAGCGACACUAUGUGUUGUUGGGUAGGGGAGCGUUCUGUAAGCCGUUGAAGGUGUGCUGUGAGGCAUGCUGGAGGUAUCAGAAGUGCGAAUGCUGACAUAAGUAACGAUAAAGCGGGUGAAAAGCCCGCUCGCCGGAAGACCAAGGGUUCCUGUCCAACGUUAAUCGGGGCAGGGUGAGUCGACCCCUAAGGCGAGGCCGAAAGGCGUAGUCGAUGGGAAACAGGUUAAUAUUCCUGUACUUGGUGUUACUGCGAAGGGGGGACGGAGAAGGCUAUGUCAGCCGGGCGACGGUUGUCCCGGUUUAAGCAUGUAGGCGGAGGUUCCAGGUAAAUCCGGUACCUUAUUAACGCUGAGGUGUGAUGACGAGGCACUACGGUGCUGAAGUGAUAAAUGCCCUGCUUCCAGGAAAAGCCUCUAAGCAUCAGGUAACACGAAAUCGUACCCCAAACCGACACAGGUGGUCAGGUAGAGAAUACCAAGGCGCUUGAGAGAACUCGGGUGAAGGAACUAGGCAAAAUGGUGCCGUAACUUCGGGAGAAGGCACGCUGAUAUGUAGGUGAAGCCCCUGCGGGCGGAGCUGAAAUCAGUCGAAGAUACCAGCUGGCUGCAACUGUUUAUUAAAAACACAGCACUGUGCAAACACGAAAGUGGACGUAUACGGUGUGACGCCUGCCCGGUGCCGGAAGGUUAAUUGAUGGGGUUAGCGGCAACGCGAAGCUCUUGAUCGAAGCCCCGGUAAACGGCGGCCGUAACUAUAACGGUCCUAAGGUAGCGAAAUUCCUUGUCGGGUAAGUUCCGACCUGCACGAAUGGCGUAAUGAUGGCCAGGCUGUCUCCACCCGAGACUCAGUGAAAUUGAACUCGCUGUGAAGAUGCAGUGUACCCGCGGCAAGACGGAAAGACCCCGUGAACCUUUACUAUAGCUUGACACUGAACACUGGUCCUUGAUGUGUAGGAUAGGUGGGAGGCUUUGAAGCGUGGACGCCAGUCUGCGUGGAGCCAACCUUGAAAUACCACCCUUUAAUGGCUGGUGUUCUAACGUAGACCCGUAAUCCGGGUUGCGGACAGUGUCUGGUGGGUAGUUUGACUGGGGCGGUCUCCUCCCAAAGAGUAACGGAGGAGCACGAAGGUUGGCUAAUCCUGGUCGGACAUCAGGAGGUUAGUGCAAUGGCAUAAGCCAGCUUGACUGCGAGCGUGACGGCGCGAGCAGGUGCGAAAGCAGGUCAUAGUGAUCCGGUGGUUCUGAAUGGAAGGGCCAUCGCUCAACGGAUAAAAGGUACUCCGGGGAUAACAGGCUGAUACCGCCCAAGAGUUCAUAUCGACGGCGGUGUUUGGCACCUCGAUGUCGGCUCAUCACAUCCUGGGGCUGAAGUAGGUCCCAAGGGUAUGGCUGUUCGCCAUUUAAAGUGGUACGCGAGCUGGGUUUAGAACGUCGUGAGACAGUUCGGUCCCUAUCUGCCGUGGGCGCUGGAGAAUUGAGGGGGGCUGCUCCUAGUACGAGAGGACCGGAGUGGACGCAUCACUGGUGUUCGGGUUGUCAUGCCAAUGGCACUGCCCGGUAGCUAAAUGCGGAAGAGAUAAGUGCUGAAAGCAUCUAAGCACGAAACUUGCCCCGAGAUGAGUUCUCCCUGAGACUUUAAGUCUCCUGAAGGAACGUUGAAGACGACGACGUUGAUAGGUCGGGUGUGUAAGCGCAGCGAUGCGUUGAGCUAACCGAUACUAAUGAACCGUGAGGCUUAACCUUACAACGCCGAAGGUGUUU
rnacentral:rRNA from 2 species